GGGAGAUACAUGAAAAGCGUUAUUUAGUUAUUACACGCACGUGGUUUCGAUCCAAAGGGUGCAAUACGUCGUCUAAUUAAUAAAUCUCCCAUAAAUAUUUCACAAUUUAAUACGAUAGAUAUGCAUGACUUGCUGGUGCAAGUGGGCAAGGAUAUUGUUGUUGAGGAAUGCAAACGGCCUCAAGGACGCAGUAGGCUGUGGACUUAUGAAGAUAUUGCUCAUCUAUUGACAACGGAUAUGGGAACUGAAAAUGUUGAAGUGAUAUUUCUUGACAUGCAUGAGAAGGAUAAUUUGGAGAUAACUUCCACAGCCUUCAUGAAGAUGCCCUAUCUGAGAUUCCUCGAGAUUCAGUGUUAUUAUAGAGGACAAGUUCGUGACGAGCUUCAAGUUCUUCCAGAAAAGCUAAGGUAUCUUCGUUGGUUAAAUUACCCUUCGACAUCUUUGCCAUUAAAUUUUUGUCCGGAGAAUCUUGUAGAACUUCACUUGUAAGGGAGAAAUCUCAAAGAACUUCGGAAUAAAGCUAAGCCACUUGGAAAGUUGAAAUUAAUGGACCUCAGCUACUCUGACAGCCUGAUCAGGAUUCCAGACUUGUCUAGUACUGCCCCAGAUCUUGAGAUUUUACGUUUGAAGAAUUGUGCAAUUUUGCAUGAUAUUCCCUCAUCUCUUGAAAAACUAAGCAAGCUCAUUGAACUAGAUCUAAGUGGGUGCUAUAGUGUCCGACAUUGUCCAGAGAUUCCUUGUAAUAUAAGGACUCUAAAGUUAGAUGGAAAUGGAAUAGAACAUCUGCCCUCAUCAAUUGAGCAUCUGUCUCAACUUGUCGAAUUCUCCUUGAAAUGGUGUACAAGACUCGUUAGUAUUCCAAACAGCAUUGGCGAGUUGAAAUGUCUUGAAGAAAUUCAUCUCAAUGGAUGCUCAAAUUUACAAAGUCUUCCAGAAAGCAUCAAAAAACUUUCGAAGUUGAAACAGCUUGACUUAAGUGGUUGCGAGAGACCCAAAUGUAUACCAGAGCUUCCAUCUUGCUUAAAAGACUUGGUUGCAUCAGGUUGCACCUCUCUGGAAUAUGCAUCAACUUCUUUCAUUCUCUUAGAAAAAGAAGGUGUCCAAAGACUUCUUUUUGCUGGAUGCGACAAAUUGGAUGAGAAAGUGACGGAGGAUGUUUUUAAAGCGCAUCUGUUGGGUUAAAAAAGUUGUAUUAAGUAUGGUAGGAGGAGAAGUGCCAGGAAGGAUGAAAUAUCAGAAUAGAAGUGGACGCUCCGUUUCAUUCAGACUUGAAUGCCAUCAAUUAAUUGCAUUCUCUUUCUGCGCUGUUAUUCAGCUGGAUUCUUAUCGUCAAUGGUCGAACGGCAUUAGUUGUAUGCUGGGUUUAAUAGACGAAUCUCCUCAUUGCUUUUGGGUUGAGUGUCAAGAACACGUGUAUUCACGAUCAAAAAACGUGUUGCUUAUGUUCAGUGAUAAUAAAUUCGACUCUGCUGAUGGAGAGCGUCUCGUUGUGGUCUCAUUUGACGGCCUUGCAUGUAAUAUGUAUAAUAUGAACAUAAUUCAAUGUGGGGUCCAUCCUAUAUAUAGUAGAAAUAAAGAGAGAAGUAGAAUUGAAGACAAUCAGGAUGACGAGGAACGCCAAUCGCUUCUUCAAAUAUCGGAAGACAACAUUGAGAGAAGAAGAAUAAAUAAUGAGGAAGAAGAAAAGGAAGAGGAGGCUUCUUCUUCUUCACUCAAUCUAAAUCACUCUCUCUCUCCUCCUGCUUCCUCCUAACCAAACCCUCUUCACUUUCACAACAGAGUCCAUGAUUUUUCAAGCUACAUGAUCUGAUGAGGUACACGAACACGAUGAACAUAAUGCUAAGGAGGAAUAGCAGAUUUCAAAAUGAAAAAGCAACAUCAAGAGAUGGUUUACUGUGCUUUCUUCACUUUCAUUGAUGCUGAAGCCUCAAUAAUUAAUUGCUACAACUGCAUGGAGUUUCUAAUAAUGAUCCUCUGUUCGAAC